rnacentral:lncRNA from 1 species
UUUAAAACUAACAAAAUCCAUAAAAUAAUCAAUUCUGAGUACAUAUGAAGCACAUUUUGAAACUGAGGAUUUUGCAUCUACGCGUCAUACAAAAAGCUGCCUGUUGAGUUUACAGGCAUAUUUUAUUCUUUAUUUGCUGCUGUUUCUGAGACAUCCAAGUUGGGCCUGCCAUGUAUUAGAGCUGUUUCUGUGGCUACUGCCUGAUCCUCACCUACUGUAUGUGACUAACUAGCUCCACCUGAGUGGAGAUAAACUACUGGAAUUCUUAUUACUGCACUGUGACAAAAUAGUUUAAAUCACAGCCUUCAAGUAACUGUAGAAAACAACUGUUUAUACAAGGUAUUUUCUCCUGCUUAACAUAAUACCAUAUACUAUUUGUUACCAGUUUCAAAUUUCACAUUAUUUUUUGGAAAGUGGUAAACAAGUGGUAAAUGCUAAUUUAUCUGGAAAAAAAGAAAUGGACAAAAAUUUGAUUUGUGAAAGAAAGAGAGGAACUCUGGAGUGAUGUGGAUUGAUUUUUAGUGGAGGAGGAGUGAAUUGAAUGAUAAAACUGAAUUUGUUUGCUAUCAUUAUACAUGUGGCAUAAAUACCCUGUGAGGCUGCGUAUAAUCAAAUUGUAGGGAGAAAUUGGGUGGGAUAAAUGUUGAGAGGACAUUCAUUAGUUUAAGAAGGUCUGGCUGGAAGCGUAAAAGGAACUGACAUGGAAUGGGGAGCUAUGAUAAUGCACAUGAAGAAAUCCAAUGAAUACUAAGAAGAGUGUAGUGUGGAGAAAAUAGCUGGAGAAAACCAAGGCAGGUGUUUAUUUCUGACAAAAUUUUGU